rnacentral:lncRNA from 13 species
GAGACAGAGAGAGAGAGAGAGAGAGAGAGAGAGAGAGAGGGGAAAAAAGAAAAAAGAAUUUGGAGCCAUUGUCCCCUUGGAGAAAAAGGAGAGACGGGGGGAAACGAGGGAGCACUGUUAAACGAGAGGAGUGGUGAGAAGGAGAAGUCAUAGGAUGAUUUUGGGAGGUAUAAACCGUGCGGGGGCAAUGCCUGCGUUCCUGCGGACCCCCACUAUGAUCCAGCCACACCUGGAUAUGAAGCCCUUCCUGCAGUUCCCUAUGGACACAGCUCCACCACAACACAGCAUGGGCCUGUUUCACAACUUCAACACCGUGAGUAGUAUAUACAAAACCGUGAGUACAUGCACACACACACACACCCUGACACACACACAUCCUGACACACNNNNNNNNNNNNNNNNNNNNNNNNNNNNNACACACACACACACACACACACACACACACACACACACACACACACACACACACACACACACACACACAGACACACACACACACACCACAUAUACACAUGUAUACACUAUUCUUUAGGUACUGACUCCAGGUCAGGAAACCUCUCUGUUAACUACCUUUCAAAUGAAUUGGAUUGAAGAGUAGCUUCAAGGUCGUUUUUACAAUGCUGUAUACUUCAGAACACACUUCACAGUGCUCUACUUACACUUCAAAACACACAAUGUAUCAAACCUGUCUGAGAUGGUUGUUUAAUGUGUGUUCUCCAAUGUGCCCUGUGGAUGUCCUUCUCUCAUUUCUAUAGGGACUCUCUGUGUCCUCAGGCCCAUUUGGGUUCAAUUACUACUUGAAAUCUUUCGGAGACUCUGAGCGUUUGCCUGGAAUUCAACAUGGGUGGGGCUUGCAGUCUUGUCCUUUGAGCCAGACCAGCUCAAUGAAACGCUGCUGAUGUAUUAUAAAGAUGUCAACUACUAUUUGAACCCAGGUCUGCCCUAGGCUUUGAGUUAUGGCCGAUCAUUUUGAUUAGGAGGAUAUUUAGCAUAUCACCACACUCAGCAUAUUGUUGAAAAGAGCUGUGCAUUGCGUUCUCAAGAUGGCCGAUUUGGAAAUGCAUUAUUAAAAGCACAGUGUGGUUCUGUUGGUCAGCAGAAUAGAAUGAACAGAACAGACUAGGAUUGUUCUACUGGACUGGACUAGGAACAUCAUUCAAAGAGCAUCUCGUAUGAGUGCUGAUCUAGGAUCAUGUUUGGCCUUUUAGAUCAGACAGGGGGGACCUGAUCCUGAAUCAGCACUCCCACUCUGAGACACUUUGUGAAUAUGGUUCCUGGUCCCCCAUCUCCGUAAAAUCGGAAUAAUUAUGAUCUGAAAGGCUAAACUGAUCCUGAAUCAGCACUCCCACUCUGAGACACUUUGUGAAUAUGGUUCCUGGUCCCCCAUCUCCAUAAAAUCGGAAUAAUUAUGAUCUGAAAGGCUAAACUGAUCCUGAAUCAGCACACCUACUCUGAGACUCUUUGUGAAUA